rnacentral:SRP_RNA from 1 species
GUUGGGUGUGGUGGCGCACGCCUGUAGUCCCAGCUACUUGGGAGGCUGAGGCAGGAGAAUUGCUUGAACCCAGGAGGUGGAGGUUGCAGUGAGUUGAGAUCGUACCACUGCACUCCAGCCUGGGCGACAGAGUGAGACUCUGUCUCAA